rnacentral:rRNA from 1 species
UACAGAGGUGGCAAGCGUUGUUCGGAAUUACUGGGCGUAAAGGGCGCGUAGGCGGUUCGUUAAGUCCUGUGUGAAAUCCCCCGGCUCAACUGGGGAACUGCACAGGAAACUAGCGGGCUUGAGUUCGGGAGAGGGAAGCGGAAUUCCGGGUGUAGCGGUGAAAUGCGUAGAUAUUGGGAAGAACACCGGUGGCGAAGGCGGCGAGCUGGUCCAUUACUGACGCUGAGGCGCGACAGCGUGGGGAGCAAACAGG